GGAAGAAGAAGAGAAGAGGGUUUAUUAAGUGGUGAUAUUCAUACUUGGUAUGGGAGGAAUCGGAAAAACAAACCUUAUGUGUUCAUCUGGACUUCUAAUGAACAGGCAAUCGACAGCAGUUAUGAUGCUUCUCCAAUUUCAAAAUGAUUAAGCGUUUUAGAAAGACAUUGUGACUCAACUGUGGAUGGCGUGAAAAUAUAAUCCUAACAGGGAAUCACUAACGGUAUCUCAAUGUGUUGGAGUUGAUUGUGGUAGCGGUAUCGAAACUCAGUUUCUUGCCUUUGGUAUUUGCGAACACCCCAAUUCAUUCAUCUAAGGUGAAAUUGGGUCUUUGGAAAAUGAAGUAUAAAGGGGAUCACUUGAUUGCUGAAAGCCAUGGCUAGACAACCCGUGAGAGAACACCAACCUGUAGUGGGUGUUGAGAUUGCAGGUGAAAAAAGCAUGAAUUGAUUCUGACCCUGAGAUUGAGGUCUAUGUAGUGGGAGAAACGAUGCGUUUAUACAGAGACAUGCCGCAAGAAAAUACUGAAGAGUUGCUCAGAUGUCUAGGAUUCUAACUAUGGGUCCAAGGAACAGGCUUCCUACAAAAGGUGCAGUUGAGUUGUUAUCUGAUUUAUCCAUUUCUUUUCCUGCAUCCAGACUUUUGGAACGAAUUCAAGUGCAUUGACCUGUCAAAUGCGAAAAAAGAGUAUUACUACGUUGAGGAAUCUUAGACACCUAGUUAGUUAGAGAACAAGAGUUUUGUAACACUACUAGCAGUGAGGAUUCAUAUUGUCUGUGCUAGGAACAACCCCAUGUAAAUGGUAUUGUUGUAGAAAUGCGAGGUAAUAUAGACAACUAAGUUGCCUUUAUUUAUUAAGGGUUAUUGUGGGCAACUCAAGCGGUUCUGUGACCGCUCUUAAACCCAAUUGAUGAUUUACUAAUCAUGUGACAGAAAAGUACAAGCCAAAAUGUAAAUUUUAAGUAGAGCAAUUAUCUAUAAGUAAAUAUUUGCCAAUAGUGAAUGAGUUCAGAGGGAAGGGCUGAUGCUCCACUGUAAGAAGAGCUUGAUUUUGCAGAGCAAUUGGUGUCCUCCUUUCUGAUUAGAGACAAGAAGAAUAUUCACAGUUAGCACUUUCCUUAAAACGAUUUAUGGUACAACACCUUAAACGAUAUGGUGGAUCAGAUUUCUUUAUGCUUGGCUGCUAAUCCAUGGAAAUGGAUGGCUUAGUUGUAAUCAUUCUGAUUCUGAUCAUUAAGAUGCUUUUCCUCUAGGUUUAUAUUUUCAUAUGUACUAAUUAAACGGAUUAAUAUUUAUCUUCAUUAAUUUUCUUUUAUGUAAUGUGUAAU